rnacentral:rRNA from 1 species
UACGUAGGGUGCAGCGUUAAUCGGAAUUACUGGGCGUAAAGCGUGCGCAGGCGGUUUUGUAAGUCUGACGUGAAAGCCCCGGGCUCAACCUGGGAAUUGCGUUGGAGACUGCAAGGCUUGAAUCUGGCAGAGGGGGGUAGAAUUCCACGUGUAGCAGUGAAAUGCGUAGAUAUGCGGAGGAACACCAAUGGCGAAGGCAAUCCCUGGGCCUGUACUGACGCUCAUGCACGAAAGCGUGGGGAGCAAACAGGAUUAGAAACCCUUGUAGU